rnacentral:rRNA from 1 species
AACGAACGCUGGCGGCAUGCCUAACACAUGCAAGUCGAACGGGAUCCAGGCUUCGGCCUGGUGAGAGUGGCGGACGGGUGAGUAACACGUGGGAACCUGCCUUUUGGUUCGGGAUAACCGCGGGAAACUGCGGCUAAUACCGGAUGCUCCCGAGAGGGGAAAGAUUUAUCGCCAGAAGAGGGGCCCGCGUCCGAUUAGGUAGUUGGUGAGGUAAUGGCUCACCAAGCCGACGAUCGGUAGCUGGUCUGAGAGGAUGAUCAGCCACACUGGGACUGAGAUACGGCCCAGACUCCUACGGGAGGCAGCAGUGGGGAAUAUUGGGACAAUGGGGGCAACCCUGAUCCAGCAAUGCCGCGUGAGUGAUGAAGGCCUUAGGGUUGUAAAGCUCUUUUGCCAGGGAAGAUGAUGACUGUACCUGGAGAAUAAGCCCCGGCUAACUUCGUGCCAGCAGCCGCGGUAAU